rnacentral:tRNA from 1 species
AUCUAUAUAGUAUAAAAGUAUAUUUGACUUCCAAUCAUAAGGUCUGUUAGUAACAGUAUAG